rnacentral:rRNA from 1 species
CCUACGGGUGGCAGCAGUGAGGAAUAUUGGUCAAUGGACGCAAGUCUGAACCAGCCAUGCCGCGUGCAGGAAGACGGCUCUAUGAGUUGUAAACUGCUUUUGUACGAGGGUAAAGGUAGCUACGCGUAGCUGUUUGAAAGUACCGUACGAAUAAGCAUCGGCUAACUCCGUGCCAGCAGCCGCGGUAAUACGGAGGAUUCAAGCGUUAUCCGGAUUUAUUGGGUUUAAAGGGUGCGUAGGUGGUCGUUUAAGUCAGAGGUGAAAGUUCGUGGCUCAACUUUAGAAUUGCCUCUGAAACUGGACGACUAGAGAGUGUUUGCGGUAGGCGGAAUGUAUGGUGUAGCGGUGAAAUGCAUAGAGAUCAUACAGAACUCCGAUUGCGAAGGCAGCUUACCAAGCCACAUCUGACGCUGAGGCACGAAAGCGUGGGGAGCAAACAGGAUUAGAUACCCCUGUAGUC